rnacentral:rRNA from 1 species
UGGGGAAUUUUGGACAAUGGGCGAAAGCCUGAUCCAGCAAUGCCGCGUGUGUGAAGAAGGUCUUCGGGUUGUAAAGCACUUUUGUCCGGAAAGAAAUCCUUGGCUCUAAUACAGUCGGGGGAUGACGGUACCGGAAGAAUAAGCACCGGCUAACUACGUGCCAGCAGCCGCGGUAAUACGUAGGGUGCAAGCGUUAAUCGGAAUUACUGGGCGUAAAGCGUGCGCAGGCGGUUUGCUAAGACCGAUGUGAAAUCCCCGGGCUCAACCUGGGAACUGCAUUGGUGACUGGCAGGCUAGAGUAUGGCAGAGGGGGGUAGAAUUCCACGUGUAGCAGUGAAAUGCGUAGAGUGUGGAGGAAUACCGAUGCGAAGGCAGCCCCCUGGGCCAAUACUGACGCUCAUGCACGAAAGCGUGGGGAGCAAAACAGGAUUAGAUACCCCUGGUAGUCCACGCCCCUAAAACGAUGUCAACUAGUUUGUUGGGGGAUUCAUUUUCCUUAGUAACGUAGCUAACGCGUGAAGUUGACCGCCUGGGGAGUACGGUCNCAAGAUUAAAACUUAAA